AGGAUAUUACCGAAUUGUCACAAGAGUUGUUGCUGGUCCUCAAACGGGGACAUGUGCACACUCUGUUAACACAUCCACUCACACCCUGUGCACCCUCUGUAGUUCUAUGGUUUGGGGGGCCUUGUCCUCCUGCUGUGGUUCUGCAUCUUCACACACACACUGUAACAAAGUCUCAUGGAAUGCAUCUGCGUCUAACGCAAUACAAUACAACUUUCAGCAACGGAUCUCUUGGCUCUCGCAUCGAUGAAGAACGCAGCGAAAUGCGAUAAGUAAUGUGAAUUGCAGAAUUCAGUGAAUCAUCGAAUCUUUGAACGCACCUUGCGCCCUUUGGCCAUUCCGAAGGGCAUGCCUGUUUGAGUAUCAUGAACACCUCAACUCUUCAUGGUUUUCUGUGAUGAGCUUGGACUUUGGGGGUUUUGCUGGCCUGCGGUCGGCUCCUCCAAAAUGAAUCAGCUUGCCAGUGUUUGGUGGGCAUCACAGGUGUGAUAAAUAUCUAUGCUUGUGGUUUUCCACCAGGUAACCUUCAGCAGUGGAGGUUCGCUGGAGCUCACAGAUGUCUCUCGGUGAGGGACGGCCCUUUGAAUGUUUGAUCUCAAAUCAGGUAGGACUACCCGCUGAACUUAA
rnacentral:rRNA from 1 species